GGUUUUUAAUACUAUAAUAAUAUAUUAUUAGACAGUCCGGUUUAACUUCACGAUCUUUUCAGACUCUUCAAGUUACUUUAUUUAUUAUAUACAGUAUAUUUGACCUUUUUUCAACUCUAUUAAGGCAAAAAAUACCUGGGUUUCCUAAUUCUUCUUGCAAAAACGUAGGUAGGGUUUUCUUUUGAAGUAUUUUGUUAGAACUGCUCAUGCUACAUGAGCAAGUUGUAGCAGGGUUGCAGCAAGUCUGCCAACAAGCCGUCAACAAGUUGUGUUCGCACUGCUUGUCCCAAGUUGCCAACAAGUCUGAGUUUGAAACAAGCUGUUAACAAUUGGUAACAAUCUUGUUUAUACAAUCAAACUUGUUGCAAGGUUGUUCCAACAAUUCCGAUACAGUCAUGAUAUAACAAUAUUGUCACAACCUUGUAACAUUCUUGUCAUAUCAUGACUG